rnacentral:lncRNA from 1 species
UCCAUCUUGGGGAGAGUGGUGGCGGGUCCUUUCCUUGUUCUCUUGCUCCCUGCCGCCUACCUGAGACCGCAGGAAAUCUGGGUCUUUCUGAAGGCAUCUUCUUGUGGUGUAGUCCCCUUGGAACCGCGGCCUUUAGAAUGAACAUGACAUCACCUUGGGCAACAAAGACAGAGGGUGUGUUCCUGUAGGAGACAAGACACGGGGAGAUCCAAGGUGGUUGGUCAGCGGGUCAUGGCAAGCAGGAGACACAAUGCUAAUGACUCCGGCUCCACGUGGCGACCAUUCAGGAAAAAGCUGCAAUGUUCUCUCUGCCACAUUAAUCAGAGAAACACAUCAAGAGCUGUUGCGUGGAGACAGCUUUCCUCCCAGUACUCGCCCUGUAUACUAAUCACCACCCCCUCCUGGCGAGGCACCACUGUAGACCCCUGCUCUGCACCCCCAGGAGGAGUGGGACUGCUUCAAGGGCAGCCUGGAGGAAAGAGGUGUGGUGUGAACACAUACAACAUGUUCCUUAACCAGGAAGGCGACUGGAGUCUUUACCUGGUUUCAAAGCAGCCAAGCCUAGAGGCCCCCACCCCUUGUUCUUUAUUAUGAUUGCCCUUUGACCCCAACCCCCCAAUUCUUUCCUCUCCAGAUCCCCAGCCAUGCAUACCCCAACUUGGUUCUGCAAAGAAUACCCAGCCACAGCUGUGAACUUGGGGAAACACAUGUGCAUGGCCAGCACAUUCAUUUUCUAUACACAACUGUCUCCCAGCUCUUCAGGCCAACUUACCUGCUCCCACUUAAUUCUCUCUUCUGGGUUGUCCCAAAGACCAAGUUCGGCUGGCCAAUUUUCCAGGACCAUCUCUCAUGGCACCUGGAGGCUUGUAGGUUCCCGGAGGACUCUCACACCCCCUUCCCACACUUUUCCAGAUUCUCCAGCUCCCUCUUUAGCAGACCCAGCCCCACUCUGGGGCACCCUGCCUUCCUGGGACCUGUCGUAACAGUCACCCACUCUGGCUGCCAGGGCCUGGCUGACCCAGGCUGGGGACCGUGGGACCCCUCUGGGCAGUGCCCCCCUACCUGGGCCCAGGUGCGUAUGGAUUUCUUUCUUCUGGGCCAUUGCACCCGCCAGAAGGUGCGGUGGGAGAGGCAGGCCCACAUUUCAGAGGGCCUUGCUGCCCCCAUGUGGCACGAGGCUGUAGCGGCUGCAGCCUCCUCUUCCCUCCCUCCUGCCACUGCUCCCGAAGCCAAGGCUCUUGCAGGGUUGAAAAGGAAGAGAAAGAGGAGAAGCAGGAAUGUGAGAGAAAUGAGGCAGGGGGAUGGGCUAGGGAAGAGAGAAGCCCUUCUGCGUUACCUGGAAAUGCAGCAACAAUAAUAACAAAGCCAAUGGUAAGAAUAAGUUUAAAGGCAGCUGCCACAUAGCACUUUUUAUAGCUUGUAGACUCUUAGAAGGAGCCAGUUCUCUCCUGCAACCCCCACUGCUCAGCCUCUAGGAGUUCCAGCCACCAGCCACCUGCACCCUCCCUUCCAUGUGGCUUUGCCCUCUGUUCUUCUCCUCUCCACUCUCUCUCCAAGGUCCAAGUGGUCAAGGUCAUCCCAAGGGUCUGCUGGGACCUUGUGUCCUUAUUCUGUGCCUUGCUGGUCGCCAACCUUCCCCAUCUGCCAAGGACUGAUGUCCAGCCCAGGCCCAGGUGCAGGUGCCCAGGUCAUUUUUGCCACUGAGUAAAGGGAGACAGAAUGACAGCAAUGAACACUAAUUAGUCACAUGAUUUCAAAAAGCAAUAAAAAUAAACCAAUCCCAGACGGAUUGUACUUCUUCCUGUCCUCAUUUGUACCCCUUUUGUAUUUUUAGUAGAGACGGCGUUUCACCAUGUUGGCCAGGCUG